rnacentral:rRNA from 1 species
GACGAAUGCUGGCGGCGUGCUUAACACAUGCAAGUCGAACGGUGAAGGGGAGCUUGCUCCCUGGAUUAGUGGCGAACGGGUGAGUAACACGUGGGCAACCUGCCCCUAACUUCGGGAUAACCAUUAGAAAGGAUGGCUAAUACCGGAUAUGAGCCCUGGAGACAUCUCAGGGGUUGGAAAGUCUUUCGGUGAGGGAUGGGCACGCGACCUAUCAGCUUGUUGGUGAGGUAACGGCUCACCAAGGCGAAGACGGGUAGCCGGCCUGAGAGGGCGACCGGCCACACUGGGACUGAGACACGGCCCAGACUCCUACGGGAGGCAGCAGUGGGGAAUAUUGCACAAUGGGCGCAAGCCUGAUGCAGCGACGCCGCGUGAGGGAUGAAGGCCUUCGGGUUGUAAACCUCUUUCAGUAGGGACGAAGCGCAAGUGACGGUACCUAAAGAAGAAGCACCGGCUAACUACGUGCCAGCAGCCGCGGUAA